CAGACAGGAGAUUAGGGAUUACCAGUGAAGACCUCACCAAGGAGACAUCCGGUCAGACACACAGAAAAGGGACAGAGCCAUGAUUUUCCAAGAAGGAACUUUCUGACCAAAAAGAACUGUUUGUGCAAAGGCCCUCAGAUAAGACUGUUUUUCGUCUUCAGAGAACAGCAAAAAGGCCACUGGAGCAGAGAUGCGUCUUUGGGGAAGAAGCUAUCCAGUGUCUACUGCUAUAUAUACAGUGACAAACACCAUUUAUGUCAUGACCCAAGUGAUUCGGACGUGAAGGUGGGAAUGAAUGACAGCUGACUGGGAAGCCGGCAUGAAGGAGAUUUGUGUGGUGGGUGAUUCCACCUGAGACCCAAAAUAGAGAUUCAUCAAAUUGUACACUUACAAUUUCUGUACUUACUAUGUGUACAUUAUAUUUCAGUAAAAAAUAGUUUUAAAAAUAAAUAAGAAAAUGACAAGCUA